UGGCCAGUGACAUAGUGGGUAGAGCGUCCGUCUCGGAUGCGGGAGGUCGUGGGUUCGAUCUUCAGCCGGGUCAU